rnacentral:rRNA from 1 species
CUACGGGCGGCAGCAGUGGGGAAUAUUGGACAAUGGGGGGAACCCUGAUCCAGCCAUGCCGCGUGUGUGAAGAAGGCCCUCGGGUUGUAAAGCACUUUCAGUGAGGAAGAACGCCUGGUGGUUAAUACCCAUCAGGAAAGACAUCACUCACAGAAGAAGCACCGGCUAACUCCGUGCCAGCAGCCGCGGUAAUACGGAGGGUGCGAGCGUUAAUCGGAAUUACUGGGCGUAAAGCGCGCGUAGGUGGCUUGAUAAGCCGGUUGUGAAAGCCCCGGGCUCAACCUGGGAACGGCAUCCGGAACUGUCAAGCUAGAGUGCAGGAGAGGAAGGUAGAAUUCCCGGUGUAGCGGUGAAAUGCGUAGAGAUCGGGAGGAAUACCAGUGGCGAAGGCGGCCUUCUGGACUGACACUGACACUGAGGUGCGAAAGCGUGGGUAGCAAACAGGAUUAGAUACCCUUGUAGUC